CUUGGCCUCCCAAAGUGUUGGGAUUACAGGUGUAAGCCACUGAGCCUGGCCAUUAAGUCCCCAUUUCUUUGGGGUCAACUAUUAGAGCUUUAUUUUGUUGCUUUAAAGGUGUCAUAUUUCCUUGAUUCUUUGUAUAUAUAUAUUUUUGAAGACUUGCGCUGCUAUCUUCACAUUUGAAGAAGCGGUCACCUCCUUUAGUCUUACUUGUUUCUUAUUAAAAUUUUUUUAAUGUUUUUUUUUAAGAGAUGGGAUCUCACUAUGUUGCCCAGGGUGGUCUCAAACUCCUGGCCUCAAGUGAUCCUCCCACCUCAGCCUCCCAAAGUGCUGAGAUUACAGGUGUAAGCUACCAUGCCUGGCUGUCCCCCAGUCUUUGUUGACUGGCUUUGGGAGAGAAAGACCUUCAUCAGUCAUCCUAGCUAAGGAUUUGAGGGAUCGCUCAGAUCUUUUCUGUAGAUACACCCACUCUACUCCUGUUGCUCCCUCUUAGGGAGAGAAGUCUUAGGUUGUAAGCUCCUCUCAAUCCUCCAAAGCUGGGUCUACACUGAGCACCUCCCAUUUUCCCUAAUGCAGUGCUCUGAAGCAUUCAAGGUUGGGCACCUUCUCCCAGUCCAGCAGAGUCAAGCCGGCUGCUCAGAUUUGCAUCUGCCGUUGAGAUCUGUGUACUGUUUGGGAGGAGGGUGCAUGAGACACCAUAUGCUCAGGGGUACGUGGAGUGCUGGGGGCAUGGAUCAGUUGGUUGGGGGGCCCACAGGCAAGUUGUUCUGUGGGUUCAUGGGCGGGCCUCCUGGUGGAGUGUUAGCUGGUUAGUGGGAUCCAUGGCUGGCUGUUGGUUGCUAGGCAUGUCCUUCCCUUCUCCUAGCAGUCCCCAGGUGACUCAGCCAUGCUGAUUCCUCAGUGUUCUGGGGAGAGACACAGGUGGGCUAUUGGGCAGCAUCCUAUAAGGUUGGGGAAGCUGGUGCUCACUCAGCACUCAGUUUCCCCUGUGGGAGAAACCACAGGCCCAGGGGGGCCUCAUUGGAGGAGCACUAGCACAGGUAAACUGAACCUUCUUAGCCUCUUCGGUGUGCUCUCUUUGCCCUGUGGGGUGCUAGAACCUCUCAGUGUUUCUGUGGGGGCAUGAGGGCUGGAACCUCCUAUUCUGUCACCUUCCUGGCCUCUUCCUACAAUUAUUUUUAUGCUCAAAUUGCCCCCGAUUUGGACAGGGGGAGAGCCUUCAGGCUGCUCCUCCAGCCCUCUCACAUGUCCCCAACGUUGUUCAGCAUUUCCUUAUUUUCCAGCACUAGACAUUCUAAGGCUCACCCUGUACUCUCUCUGCUCUUCCCUGGAAAUAGUCAUUUCUCCAAAGAGUUCUGUUCCCUUGGAAUAGAGAAUGGUAUUUACAAACCAAGAAAUGGAUUUCAGGUGUGCCAGUUGUUUCUGGGGUGGCAUUGCUUCUAGGCCCCUUCGGUGGACAGAGCUGGGAAAGAAACUGUGUGUAUCAUAUAUAUCUGCACACGUAAGCUGUGUGUGUAUCAUAUAUAAUACAUCUGCACAUAUAAACUGUGUAUGUAUCAUAUAUAAUACAUCUGCACUUAUAAACUGUGUAUGUAUCAUAUAUUAAUACAUCUGCACAUAUAAACUAUCAUCUGUACAUAUAAACUGUAUAUCAUAUAUAUCUGCACAUAUAAACAGUAUCAUAUAAUACAUCUGCACAUGUAAACUGUAUCAUAUCUGCACAUAUAAACUGUAUAUCAUAUAUAUCUGCACAUAUAAACUAUCAUAUAUAAUACAUCUGCACAUACAAACUAUCAUAUCUGCACAUAUAAACUAUAUCAUAUAUAUCUGCACAUAUAAACUAUCAUAUAUAAUACAUCUGCACAUACAAACUAUGUAUCAUAUAUAAUACAUCUGCACUUAUAAACUCUGUGUAUCAUACAUAAUACAUCUGCACAUAUAAACUAUCAUAUCUGUACAUAUAAACUGUGUAUAUCAUAUAUAUGCACAUAUAAACUAUCAUAUAUAAUACAUCUGCACAUACAAACUGUAUGUAUCAUAUAUAAUACAUCUGCACUUAUAAACUGUAUCAUACAUAAUACAUCUGCACAUAUAAACUGUAUCAUAUCUACACAUAAACUGUAUAUAUCAUAUAAUAUAUGCGCAUAUAAACUAUCAUAUAUCUGCACAUAUAAACUAUGUAUCAUAUAUAUCUGCACAUAUAAACUGUGUGUAUCAUAUAUAGUACAUCUGUACAUAUAAACUGUAUCAUAUACAUCUGCACAUAUAAACUAUCAUAUAUAAUACAUCUGCACUUAUAAACUGUGUACCAUAUAUAUCUGCACAUAUAAACUGUAUCAUAUAUAUCUGCACAUAUAAACUAUCAUAUAUAAUACAUCUGCACAUAUAAACUGUAUCAUAUAUAAUCUGCACUUAUAAACUGUAUCAUAUAUAUCUGCACAUAUAAACUGUAUCAUAUAUAUCUGCACAUAUAAACUGUCAUAUAUAAUACAUCUGCACAUAUAAACUGUGUGUAUCAUAUAUACAUCUGCACAUAUAAACUGUGUGUAUCAUAUAUAAUACAUCUGCACUUAUAAACUGUAUCAUAUAUAUCUGCACAUAUAAACUGUAUCAUAUAUAAUAUAUCUGCACAUAUAAACUAUCAUAUAUAAUACAUCUGCACAUAUAAACUGUAUCAUAUAUAACUGCACAUAUAAACUGUCAUAUAUAUCUGCACAUAUAAACUGUCAUAUAUAUGCACAUAUAAACUAUCAUAUAUAAUACAUCUGCACAUAUAAACUGUGUAUCAUAUAUAAUACAUCUGCACAUAUAAACUAUCAUAUAUAAUACAUCUGCACAUAUAAACUGUAUCAUAUAUAAUACAUCUGCACAUAUAAACUGUGUAUCAUAUAUAAUACAUCUGCACUUAUAAACUGUGUCAUAUAUCUGCACAUAUAAACUAUCAUAUAAUACAUCUGCAUAUAUAAACUAUCAUAUAUACAUCUGCACAUAUAAACUAUAUCAUAUAUCUGCACAUAUAAACUGUGUGUGUAUCAUAUAUCUGCACAUAUAAACUGUGUGUAUCAUAUAUAUCCGCACAUAUAAACUGUGUGUGUAUCAUAUAUAUCUGCACAUAUAAACUGUGUGUGUAUCAUAUAUAAUACAUCUGCACACAUGCUUCUCUGUAUUGAAAACCAAAUUGUCACGGACCACUCCCAUUCUCACGCAGCAUUUAGGGCUGUGGCUAGCCUUUCCCAGCUGUAAGAAACCUGUCUUUCAGCAUGAUAAACACAUUUACUUAUUUGCUCAGUCCUCUAAUAUGCAGAAAGUAGUUUUAGAAUUGCCAAAACCAUACAACUUGGAAAAACAAGCAUGAUUACUUCAAGAUGUGUUUGUAGCUCCUUCUGUCCUGGCAUUGGACGUGGAGAGAAAGCACAGACUGUUCCAAGUUUCAUUUUUCCCCUUCUCUGAAACGCAGAGAGCGUUGUUUGUUUCUGUUUGUAUUUCAUUUGGGUCCUCCCUCUAGCCUUAUUCAUAAAUUUGUAAAUGAUCUUUAACAAUCUGUUAUAUUUAUGAUGUUUUACUGCGUGCUGCCUGUGAAAAUGUUUCCUUCUUCUGACACGUUCCAGAACAACUAGGCUUUUAAAUUCCAAAUAUUCCUGUUUCACAAUAAACCAGAUGAGGGCCUCUGUUGUGCCACAGCUUUUGGAAUGUGGUUUAUUACCAAUAGAAGUGGCUGCGUGGCUUGUUAUGGUUUCAAUUACACGUGAGUAACAACCGGGGCCCUUCUGUGUCAGGUGCUGCUGAUCAAGGCUGGCUAAUGGGGACCUCGCUGUCCAGAACGGGCGUUUCCCAUGGCCCGGCCCAGCUGUUUACCACUUCUGUCUACCAUUUCAGAGGGGCUUUGCGGAGAUUAAAUGAGGUGAAGCGCUCUGAGAACCUCAGUCCUAAAGAAUAGCAGUUAUACUGGUUUUUGUAUUAUAUUUAUAUAUUCUUCUUGUUAAUAUACUGGUUUUAAUGUUCAUCGUUCUCUUGGGAUCCCAUGACAGUGAGCCUGGUGUACCUGAGGUCUGGGAUACUCACACCUCUCCCCAGUCCCAUGCUCCCCACUGUGGCAGUGCCUGUCAGGGACCCUGCUGACCCCAGGAAGCCUCGGUGUCCCCAGCGCUGGCUCUGCUCACACAGGCAGCAGGCUUAGUGUUCUCUGGCCUGGCUGCACUGACUGGACCAGGGACAGGGGAAGGGCCCCAAAGCACCCUGUUCCAGGCAGCCGGCCAGUCGUGGCCGAGGAGCUCCAUUCAACAGUGGCACCCAGAGGGGCCAGGGUCUCAUAAAGCUGGUCAGACGCCCCCUCUGGGUAGGGGUGUAGGAAGCGGCUGUGCAGCCGGGUCCCAGGUAGGGAGGCAUAGAGUGAAGGCUGUGAGCAGGAGCCCUGGGGCGGAGGGCCAGGAGAAGGCUGGGCACAGGUCCAUCGGUGGCAGCUGGGUGGGCAGAGCAGAGAGGCUGCAUCUGCACGACGGCAGGGCCCUGGUGUGGGAACAGCAGACGGGGCCCCUGGGUGCGGCGCCUCCUUCCCACAUCCCUGCUGCUCCUGCAUCUGCUGCUGGAGAAGACCACGACGUGCUCAGACCCCGGCACUGGAGAACUCCAGAUGUGGUGAGGGCUGCACGUUAGCUGCAUACGCACAUCUGGAAGGUGAGGCAGACGUGCCCACCGCCUCCAUGCCUGGCCCACAGUUGUGGGCAUGCAGAGCUCCUCUGUGGCAGGCCCAGGCUGCACCAGCUGCCUGGAGAGGCACUGGGGGCGGGGCCUCACUUGAGGGGCAGAUUCUCCCACCCAGCCAGUCCAGGCCCAGCGGCUGGAGCAUCCCGUCCAGCAAAUUGUCCUGCAAGUUGCCCUGGAGACCCAGCGUCUCUCAUCACGUCUCACUCCCCUGCCAGAUGCCUCUGCGGCAAUAACGAGAGUGGCUCUGCCUUCUGCACUGAAUGCCGACAGGUGACCAGAACAUGACACUGGGGUUAUGCAGUGCCCUGGUUGAUAUUCUAGUUCAUCAGGGAGCUUCUGGAAUGAUUUUUUUUUUCUUUUUUUUUUUUUUUUGAGACAGAGUCUCUCUCUGUCGCCCAGGCUGGAGUGCAAUGGAGCAAUCUUGGCUCACCACAACCUCUGCCUCCGGGGUUCAAGUGAUUCUCCUGUCUGAGCCUCCUGAGUAGCUGGGAUUACAGGUGUCCACCACUAUCACUCAGUUAAUUUUUAUAUUUUUAGUAGAGAUGGGGUUUCACCAUGUUGCCUGGGCUGGUCUCAAACUCCUGACCUCAGGUGAUCUGCCUCCUCAGCCUCCCAAAGUGCUGGGAUUACAGGCAUGAGCCACCUCACCCAGCCAACUUUCUUUUGCUUCACUUUUCCUCUGGUUGCCCCAUCUUUAUUGUCAAGUCCUGUUAAGAGGAACAACAUUAAAAUGAGAGCUUUCAUGGCAAAAAGGUUGCUGUGGGUUGAGCUUGCAAUGUUAGCUGCGUGUUAGGAUUCAGCUGACAUCUGUCUCUGGAGUCUCGCCCUUUCUGUAAUUCGCUUUUGACUGUAAUAAAUGUUGUACAGUGAAUGUGUGGGUGGGGCCUCUGAGUUACAUCGGCUCAAGGCCUCUUUUAAGGAGGACCCAAAUAAGAGUGGGGAUUGAUGUAUUUGACUGGGAACCCACUCAGGGCCACCAUGCAGUGAAGCUCCGGAGCAGGGGUGUAGACGCCCUGCUUGAAGCGUUGAGAAGCCCCACAGUACAAGUGUGCAGAAGUCAAGCUCCUCCUGCUGGAGCAGGGACAGGGCAAUAGGGAAAGGCUUUUCCAGAGGCAGGGUCAUUGGGACUGGCUCUUCCGGGAGGAGCUGAGGGCACACGCUGGGCAGAGCUGACCUCUGUGUGCGGAUCGCCUGGGAUGGCGCCUCCGGUGGCCUCACGAUAAAGCACCUCAGAGGCAGGAGAUGAACUUGAGACCUGACCGUGAAGGAGUGAGGAGUGAAGUCCUCUUCUCAACAGAAGGAAACCAUCAAAGAGGUUACAUAAUCAAAACUGUGUUGUCAAAAUAUUGCUGGACAGAGAUGGCGGCUGGUCCGGCACGUGGGAAUGUUGGUGACAAGAGGUCAGUUCGGUGGCUCUUGGACCUCCCAGGCCAGGAGGGAAGCGCCCAGGCCAAGGUGGGAGCCUGAGAAUAGAGAUUUCAAGAGACGCUUCUAAUGAAUGCUCAUCAGAAUGUUAUUAUUAUUUUAUUUUAUUAUUUUAUUGGGACUGGAUUGACUUGCAUUUCCUUCACUAAUCAGAAGUUUGAGGGCAAAGAUAAAUCUCAAAUAAUCACCUUGCAUUUCUGAUGAGUUAAAUGAGUGUGUUUUAUGCCCUGGUUGUAUGAGCUUGCUUUUCCACAAAUAAGAGUGGAAAUUUUAUUUUAUUAUUAUUUUGUAUUAUUAUUUUAUUUUAUUUUU
rnacentral:lncRNA from 10 species